rnacentral:rRNA from 1 species
UACGUAGGGGGCAAGCGUUAUCCGGAUUUACUGGGUGUAAAGGGAGCGUAGACGGAGCAGCAAGUCUGAUGUGAAAGGCGGGGGCUCAACCCCCGGACUGCAUUGGAAACUGCUGAUCUUGAGUACCGGAGGGGUAAGCGGAAUUCCUAGUGUAGCGGUGAAAUGCGUAGAUAUUAGGAGGAACACCAGUGGCGAAGGCGGCUUACUGGACGGUAACUGACGUUGAGGCUCGAAAGCGUGGGGAGCAAACAGG